UUUUUAAAUCUUAUGAACAUUAAUCAUUGAAUUGAUAUGCUAUAUCUAUAUCGUUCCAUCCUAUAUACCUUCAUCACACCAUCAAUGUUUCAAUAGCAUUUUUGAAUUUGUGUUAAGAUCAACCGGAAAAGGAUUCAUGCAAUUAUAACUCUCAUAUUUUACAAGCUCUUGGAGAGGGGGGGGGGGUUGCUCUUCUUUAAUUAGUUCCUGGCAAGUUGGUAAGAUAUCAUUGUGGUUUUGGUUCCCUAUAUUACUACUUACUAGUCUGUUAAGACAGUUGAUAAUUGAACAUAUUAACAUUAGAUCCCUUAGCUUGGUUGGGUCCUUUGCAAGCCCUCUGUGGAUGGAGACUAUGAACCUCAUGCAAGACAAGGAAUGUCUCAGGGCUCUACUUGAGACGAAAGAUAGGAUCUUGCAGGGCUUUACAUGAGACGGAAGAUAGGGUAAAGGGUAAAUUGACAAACUUCAAUUCGUCAUUGUAGUCCUUGGCUCAUGAUUUGCUUACUCUAUUAUCCCAACCUUAUGCUUUCAUUUGUUGGAAAUGCCUUUCAAGCCAAGAGGUUUCCAAUCUUCUCAAGCCGCAUAUUUGAUGAAUCUAGAAACCACUACAAUGUCACACAUGGAUCUCGGCAUUAGCUGCAAGUCUCUCCCAUAUCGCCCUUUUCAAUGUAAGAUUAAUCUGAAAUGAAAUACUCAAGCAUACAAGGUAAGUCUAAAAUGGCACUGAGAUAGACUUUGCUGAAGCUAUCAUAGGGUUGUUGAUCGAAAGUGAAACUCUUCCAGUUCAAGAUCCGUGUGAUGUUGUAGAUUUGUGGUGGUAUCUAGAUUCAUCAAAUGUGUAGCUUGCAAAGAUUGGAAACCUCUUGACUUGAAAGGCAUUGGUCCAAUACAUGAUUGGGACUGCAACAUAAAGUGCAAGGUAUGAACCCUCAAGUGAACAAAUUACGGGGUAGACUGGAGUACCAGAAAGGAUGACAUGGUGAUUGACUUGAGCUUACAACAAAUGAAAGCAUGAGGUUGGGAUAAUAGAGUAAGCAAAGCAGGAGCCGAGCACUAUGAUGAAGAAUUGAAGCCUUGUCAAUCUACCCUUUACCCUAUUUUCUGUCUCAUGUAGAGCCUUGCAAGAUCCAAUCCCAAGAAGCUUAUGACUUAUCUUUUAGUUGGGUUUUAAUUUUGAACUCUGUAAAUUUAAUAUGUAUUACUUAAACAUUUUAUCCCUUCUUUCUUUGA